rnacentral:lncRNA from 10 species
CACCGCUGCAAGAGGGGAAGUUGCUACUGUGAUGAAUUCUGCCAUGUGGCACCAGACUGCCACCCAGACCACAGUGUCCUCUGCAACCCUGGUCAAAGGUGCCUACAUGCUCCUUCUAGCUUUGUUUCCCUGAUGUUCCUUGCCACCUGCUACUCCUCUCUGAGCUACUUUUCCAGCCUCCCAGGAAUGCCAUUCAACAUGGCUGUGAGGAGAAUAAAGAAGAGAGCCUGACUCCUCUCCUGAGGCCCCUUCCCCACCCUGAGCCAGCAGGAUCCACGGAGCAGAGGUCAUCUGUCCCCAGCUUGGCCCACUGAGGCCAGCAUGGCUGGGCCCAGGAUGCUUGUCUCUCAGCUCCCAUCCUGUGUACUUCCACAUUGGUUUAACCAGAGGAAAACCGAAAUCUACAAUUGUCAUAAACACAUUUAAAUGUGCGUAGAAUCAGCCAUACAAAUUGUGAAACAUA